rnacentral:rRNA from 1 species
AUUGAACGCUGGCGGCAGGCCUAACACAUGCAAGUCGAGCGAGCGGCGGACGGGUGAGUAAUGUCUGGGAAACUGCCUGAUGGAGGGGGAUAACUACUGGAAACGGUAGCUAAUACCGCAUACCAUCAGAUGUGCCCAGAUGGGAGUCGGUAGUAGGUGGGGUAACGGCUCACCUAGGCGACGAUCCCUAGCUGGUCUGAGAGGAUGACCAGCCACACUGGAACUAAUGGCCGUUCCCGACUCCUACGGGAGGCAGAAGUCGGGAAUAUUUCACAAUGGGCGCAAUCCGCAUGCAGCCAUGCCGGGUGUGUGAAGAAGGCCUUCCGGUUGUAAAGCACUUUCAGCGGGGAGGCGUUACCCGCAGAAGAAGCACCGGCUAACUCCGUGCCAGCAGCCGCGGUAAUUC